rnacentral:rRNA from 1 species
ACGCUCGACACCUACGGGNGGCAGCAGUGGGGAAUAUUGCACAAUGGGGGAAACCCUGAUGCAGCGACGCCGCGUGAAGGAAGAAGUAUCUCGGUAUGUAAACUUCUAUCAGCAGGGAAGAAAAUGACGGUACCUGACUAAGAAGCCCCGGCUAACUACGUGCAAGCAGCCGCGGUAAUCUGAGCGGGCUGGCAAGGC